GCAGCCGCGGUAAUACGUAGGUGGCGAGCGUUAUCCGGAAUUAUUGGGCGUAAAGAGCGCGCAGGUGGUUGAUUAAGUCUGAUGUGAAAGCCCACGGCUUAACCGUGGAGGGUCAUUGGAAACUGGUCGACUUGAGUGCAGAAGAGGGAAGUGGAAUUCCAUGUGUAGCGGUGAAAUGCGUAGAGAUAUGGAGGAACACCAGUGGCGAAGGCGGCUUCCUGGUCUGUAACUGACACUGAGGCGCGAAAGCGUGGGGAGCAAACAGGAUUAGAAACCCC
rnacentral:rRNA from 1 species